rnacentral:rRNA from 1 species
AAAGCCUGUCCCAGUUCGGACUGGAGUCUGCAACCCGACUCCGCGAAUUGGAUUCGCUAGUAAUCGCGCAUCAGCCAUGGCGCGGUGAAUACGUUCCCGGGCCUUGUACACACCGCCCGUCAAGCCAUGGGAGCCGGGGGCGCCUGAAGUCCGGGACCGCGAGGACCGGCCUAGGGCGAAACUGGUAACUGGGGCUAAGUCGUAACAAGGUACC